CCUACGGGACGCACCAGUGGGGAAUAUUGCACAAUGGGCGCGAGCCUGAUGCAGCCAUGCCGCGUGUAUGAAGAAGGCCUUCGGGUUGUAAAGUACUUUCAGCGGGGAGGAAGGCGAUAAGGUUAAUAACCUUGUCGAUUGACGUUACCCGCAGAAGAAGCACCUGCUAACUCCGUGCCAGCAGCCGCGGUAAUACGGGGGGUGCAAGCAUUAAUCGGAAUUACUGGGCGUAAAGCGCACGCAGGCGGUCUGUCAAGUCGGAUGUGAAAUCCCCGGGCUCAACCUGGGAACUGCACUCGAAACUGGCAGGCUAGAGUCUUGUAGAGGGGGGUAGAAUUCCAGGUGUAGCGGUGAAAUGCGUAGAGAUCUGGAGGGAUACCGGUGGCGAAGGCGGCCCCCUGGACAAAGACUGACGCUCAGGUGCGAAAGCGUGGGGAGCAAACAGGAUUAGAUACCCCUGUAGUC
rnacentral:rRNA from 1 species